rfam:Branchiostoma floridae genomic scaffold BRAFLscaffold_216, whole genome shotgun sequence.
GUUUGCCUGUGUGUGGAUGGUGUUCAGCACCAAGGACAGGUAUGUUUGGCUGUGUGUGGAUGGUGUUCAGCACCAAGGACAGGUAUGUUUGCCU